GUGCGACGGGGGGAUCCCAAGUGCUCAUGCACAGCAUGGGCUUUUAUCAAGUGUAAACAGCUUGAGGAAUAAGGGCUGGGCAAGUUCGGUGCCAGCAGCCGCGGUAACACCGACGGCCCGAGUGGUGGCCACUUUUAUUGGGCCUAAAGCGUCCGUAGCCGGUCCAGUAAGUCCUUGUUUAAAUCCUGCGGCUUAACCGCAGGACUGGCAGGGAUACUGCUGGACUUGGGACCGGGAGAGGACAAGGGUACUUCAGGGGUAGCGGUGAAAUGUGUUGAUCCUUGAAGGACCACCUAUGGCGAAGGCACUUGUCUGGAACGGGUCCGACGGUGAGGGACGAAAGCCAGGGGCGCGAACCGGAUUAGA
rnacentral:rRNA from 1 species